ACGCUCGACACCUACGGGAGGUAGCAGUGGGGAAUAUUGCACAAUGGGGGAAACCCUGAUGCAGCGACGCCGCGUGGAGGAAGAAGGUCUUCGGAUUGUAAACUCCUGUUGUUGGGGAAAAAGAGGAUGGUACCCAACAAGGAAGUGACGGCUAACUACGUGCAGCAGCCGACGGUAAUCUGAGGCGGGCUGGCAAGGC
rnacentral:rRNA from 1 species